rnacentral:ncRNA from 1 species
UCCCGCUUUUCCUCCCUGAGCGGGGCCUUUGCGCGUGACAGCAAAGAGGCUUACAGCCCGGCUGGUCUUUGUACCAGCUGGGCCUUUUUUU